AGAACGUCAAAUUUAUCCAAGCUUUCGUGUCACCGCGAUCGAUAUACACUUUCGCGCCAACAUGGACGAUUCUGAAAGGUGUAUUUGAUUGAGAGGGCUCACUCUCAUUCCUUGGCAACCCCCUAUAUCAAUUAUCAAUCCAUGUUAGGAAUUGCAAUGGAUGAAGACGUAACAGAUAAGGGAAAUGAGCAGAUAUCAAAUGAUUUGCAGUCUCCCCAGAGAUCUAUCUUGGAUUUCUUCAAAUCCCCAGACAAAAUCAAACCUGCCAAGAAGCCCACCAGUCUUCUCUCCUUCUUCGGAACAGCACAGCAGAAGGACACAGAAAAACAA